GGUUGCCACAACAAAGUGCCACAACUGGGUGGCUUAAGCAACAGAAAUGUAUUGACUCACAGGUCUGGAGUCUCCAAGAUCAAGGCGUCACCAGGCUGAUUUCUUCUGAGGCCUCUCUCCUUGGCUUGCAAGAAGCUUGGCUACAAACGUCUAACACUGUGGUAUAUUUGGGGGGAAGAAGAUAAUGCACAAGAAACUACCCAGAUCCUCCUACCACAUGCUGUUGCUGUAGUAUGAUUUGGGGCAAGUUACCAAUAUUUUUUAAUUUCUAUUUUCUCAUCUGUAAAAUAGGUGCAGUGCAAUGUCUACUCAUCAGCUUGAAGUGCGGAUUAAUUGAUAAUGUACACACCUAGAACAGGCUAGACACUCAACAUAUGGUAAUAUCAUUAUUGCAGACUUAUUUGUGCAUAGUUACACUGCACUGAGUCUUGAAAAAUGGCAUAUCCUGAUAUUCAUUCAUUCAACAAAUAUUAAGGACCCACCAUGGGCCAGGUACUGUGUUAAGUAUUGAGGGCACGGAAAUAAACUGGCCUUGAGGAAUCCCUGUAUAGCCCAGCACUUAAGGGCACUUGGUGGUCAGGUAGACCUGGGUGGGCUUUGCUAUUUGGGCAAAUAAUAAAGCUUCUCUGAAGGACAAGUUUCUCAUCUGUCGAA